AGGAAAACGGGUUGGUUUCAGUGUUGCCGUUUUGAUUAUUUUUAAACAAAAUUGGCUACUCAUUUUUCUCUUCACGCAUUUUGGUUAUUUGCUUUUAUAUUUCUAACUUUUUAAGCUGCGAAAGUGAAUGACCAAAAAAGGAUUGAGCUAUUGACUCAGCAUAUAUGCCGUUUAAAUUUAAAUACCAAGCAAAUCAGAGAUGUUUUGUUGCUGUAACGGUAUAAACAAUUCCUCCAAAUUUUAGGGAAAUGCUAUUGGAGUCCGGGUCGUUCCGCUAACGUAGUAUUAAUGUGCCAUUAAUAACACAAUUUCGAAUAUCAAUAGAAAACGAUCUUUCUAUGGUAUUGCAUUUGCUUUUGGAUGGAAGUUAAAUGAAUUAAAGACGCUCAAGACGUGUUGAGACUGAACUUGUUUUUAAGCGCAUAAAGUAGUUCUUAGAUAUAUGGCGCUAACAUCCUUAAUUGGGCGUUUGGCUGAGUUGUUCCUCCUAUUUGUGGUGUGCGUCUUUUUCAUGUUGAUCCAUAAAUAGAGAUACCUAUAGUUUUAAGACGACUCCGAAUGACAAAUGGUUUUUUAUGAGGAGCUUUCCCAUGGCACAGGAGGUUUGCCAUUGCCUGCCGACGGGCUACUGCUAUUAGAAACAAUGUCUAUCUGAUUGGUGUUUCACGUAUUCGCUAGUUGUUUUUCUAUAAAAACUUAAGCAAUUAUGAUUCCAAUAAACUGUAGUUUUAAUAAGUCCAAAACUUUGUUGAUAACAAAAGUCUGGUAAAUGGUUGGCAACGCGUUACUAGCUCAAAUGUUCUGCAACAUUGUUAUCUGACGGUAAUAAGCAAGAAAUCUGCGUGUGCCUAAGCUGAUUUGGGAUGAAUA